rnacentral:tRNA from 1 species
GGGGGUAUAGCUCAGCGGGAGAGCACCUGCUUUGCAAGCAGGGGGUCGCCGGUUCGAUCCCGGCUGGCUCCACCA